CACGGGGGUGCCUGGCUGCGUCUGCAUUUCAUCUCCUGUCUCUUUGCUCGCUCACGCUGUGCUCGUCUUGACAUCCCUAGAGUCAGAAGUAGUUAAAGAUUUGCCCAGAGAAUGAAAAUCGGAUUGGGAAAUACAAUCUUGCCUUACCACAGAAGGACAGAAUUUCCUAAGUUAGAAGGGAUCCAUCAGGAUCAUUAAGUCCAACUCCUGGCCCUGCACAGGACAUCCCAAGAGUCACACCCUGUGCCUGAGAGCAUUUUCCAAAGGCCUCUUGAGCUCUGUCAGGCUCACAUUUGGAUUGGUGUUCACAGGAGAGGGCUGUGAGGAAAUUCCUUCAUCUGGGUACCUUAACAGUAAAUGGAAACAGAAAGGCUCCUACUACCCAUAGUUCAGCACAAGAACUUAAUUUACAUGCUGCAAACUUGCACUUGGAGAAGCUGAUCUUUGUCAUUGGACUUGAAAGGUAGUGUGAACGUCCAGUCUUGUCUAGGGCAAGGGAGUAAAAUAUUUAAUUUAUAAAAAGAUGCCCUUAUUAAAAUGUGUAUAUAUAUUUUUUUAGGGCACAGAAUAUGUUUCAAUUAAAAUGCUACUCUGAAAAUCAAUAAAAUUUGCUUCAAAUAUU